rnacentral:ncRNA from 1 species
GGCGCCCGUGCCCCACGGCCGCCCCGGACGAGUUGCGCGUCGUACCCGGCCUGACAAGACGACCGCCUG